rnacentral:rRNA from 1 species
GACAGAGGGGGCAAGCGUUGCUCGGAAUCACUGGGCGUAAAGGGUGCGUAGGCGGUUCGUUAAGUCUGUCGUGAAAUCCCCGGGCUCAACCUGGGAAUGGCGAUGGAUACUGGCGAGCUAGAGUGUGUCAGAGGAUGGUGGAAUUCCCGGUGUAGCAGUGAAAUGCGUAGAGAUCGGGAGGAACACCAGUGGCGAAGGCGGCCUUCUGGACCAAUACUGACGCUCAUGCACGAAAGCGUGGGGAGCAAACAGG